UACGUAGGGUGCAAGCGUUAAUCGGAAUUACUGGGCGUAAAGCGUGCGCAGGCGGUUUUGUAAGUCAGAUGUGAAAUCCCCGGGCUUAACCUGGGAACUGCGUUUGAAACUACAAGGCUAGAGUGUGGCAGAGGGGGGUGGAAUUCCACGUGUAGCAGUGAAAUGCGUAGAGAUGUGGAGGAACACCAGUGGCGAAAGCGGCUUCCUGGUCCAGCACCGACGUUCAGGCACGAAAGCGUGGGGAGCAAACAGG
rnacentral:rRNA from 1 species